AAUGAACGCUGGCGGCGUGCCUAACACAUGCAAGUCGAAUGUGCCGCAAGGUGCAUGGCAGACGGGUGAGUAACGCGUGGGCAAUCUACCUUUUCGUGGGGAAUAACGAUCCGAAAGGAUUGGUAAUACCGCAUGAGACCAAUGGCUGGGAUGCUGUUGGUGAAACCUGGGGACCGCAAGGCCUGGGGGCGAAAAGAGGAGCCUGCGUCUGAUUAGCUAGUUGGCGGGGUAACGGCCCACCAAGGCUUCGAUCAGUAGCCGGCCUGAGAGGGUGGAUCGGCCACACUGGAACUGAGACACGGUCCAGACUCCUACGGGAGGCAGCAGUGGGGAAUUUUGCGCAAUGGACGAAAGUCUGACGCAGCAACGCCGCGUGUGUGAAGAAGGCCU
rnacentral:rRNA from 1 species